CUGCUAGUCUUGCGUUCUCUAGCCAUAUGAGAGCGCGGCGUACAGCUCACACCUUUCGGCUAACCUGCCCUUGGGACGAAAACAAACCCGGGAACCUGGGGCUAAUUUUCGAUAGGUGAAGAAUUCUGGAAUGACUCUUCGCCUAAAUGGCGCUUAUGUUAUGCUCAUAUACGUUGCCCAAGGAUGGGGCCGCGACCGAUCAGGUUGUUGGUGAGGUAAUGGCUCACCAAGCCUUUUACCGGUACGGGCCGUGGGAGCGGGAGCCCGGAGAUGGGCACUGAGACAAGGGCCCAGGCCCUACGGGGCGCAGCAGUCGCGAAAACUUUGCAAUACACGAAAGUGUGACAGGGCUAUCCCGAGUGCCAUCCGCUGAGGAAGGCUUUUACCCAGUAUAAAUAGCUGGGGGAAUAGGGAGAGGGCAAGACUGGUGUCAGCCGCCGCGGUAAUACCAGCUCUCCGAGUGGUGUGGAUGUUUAUUGGGCCUAAAGCAUCCGUAGCUGGCCAAGUUAGUCCCCUGUUAAAUCCACCGAAUUAAUCGUUGGUGUGCGGGGGAUACUGCUCGGCUAGGGGACGAGAGAGGCAGACGGUAUUUUCGGGGUAGGGGUGAAAUCCUAUAAUCCCGGGAAGACCACCAGUGGCGAAGGCUGUCUGCUAGAACGCGCCCGACGGUGAGGGAUGAAAGCUGGGGGAGCGAACCGGAUUAGAUACCCGGGUAGUCCCAGCUGUAAACGAUGCAGGCUAGGUGUUUGGACGGCCACGAGCCGCUCUAGUGCCGCAGGGAAGCUGUUAAGCCUGCCGCCUGGGGAGUACGAUCGCAAGAUUGAAACUCAAAAGAAUUGACGG
rnacentral:rRNA from 1 species